ensembl:misc_RNA Metazoa_SRP Metazoan signal recognition particle RNA
GCCAGGUACGGUUACGUGUGCCUGCAAUCCCAGCUACUCAGGAGACUGAGGUGGGAGGAUCGCUUGAGUCCAGGAGUUCUGGACUGUACUGUGCUAUGCCGAUCGGGUGUCCGCACGAAGCUGUAGUGGGAUCGCGCCUGUGAUGCACUCCAGCCUCGGCAACAUAGCAAGACCCUGUCUCUA